UUUGUUAGGGCUGCAUCCAGCCCCAGUGAAGAGAUUAGCCUUCCAUGAAGAGUUGAGCAGCUGCACUGCAGGGGAACUUCAUGAUGAUUGGCUCCUUCCUCCUUCCUCCCGUCGGCUCCCUCUCAGCACAUCAUCAUCUUUUCCUUUGGGAAAUCAUUCCCAAAAUAUCCAAAUUGUUCUCCCUCUCAUUUGUUUCCCGUGGGACUUCUCAAGUAAAAGAACUAAAGAUGGGAUUGGGUGAGAAAGAAUGAGACGGAAGAGAAGAAUGAAUUCUCUGUUUCCUGCCUUGGCCUUUUAUAGGCUGCCAUCUCCCCCUCUCUCCUCCUUUGUGGCUGAUCCGAAUGGGUGGGAGGAUAAGGGUUGAGCUUAGCUGGAACUCUUCCAUGGAUAAGGGAGACUGAUCCGUGAUCCCUCGUUCAGUUGGAUGCUCUCGGAGAUGAAGAUGAGGUGCCUCUGUUCCGCUGAAGCAGGGGAGUUUGGAUUCGGCUGGGAGCUGUGAAGAAAUUUGGGAGGUGAAGAUGAAUCGCAGAUGGUGGAGUUCAUCCAGAAGUUAGAAUAUUGCCCACGGCUAGGAAAAAAUCUGGGAAGAAGGUGACAUGGUUUAGAAGAUUGUUUGCUUGGCAUGUAUCGCGGGAGGAAGCUGGAUGAGGUUGAUCCGGAACAGGGGAUACGGAAUAAGGAUGAAGUCAGAACAGGGGAGCUGGGACGUGUUGGAUUUCAUGGGCGAUGAAGUCUAUCCGGACGGGAGGAAUGCCGUGAAACUUGGGAUGCACACAAAAAUGCUACUUAAUCCAAUCCGCGGCUGAUGUUCACGGCUUGUUCUUAUCUGAAAGAGAAGGGACUCUCG
rnacentral:lncRNA from 1 species